rnacentral:rRNA from 1 species
UACGUAGGGUGCAAGCGUUAAUCGGAAUUACUGGGCGUAAAGCGUGCGUAGGCGGACCUGCAAGUCGGGGGUGAAAGCCCGAGGCUCAACCUCGGAACUGCCUUCGAUACUGCGGGUCUCGAGUCCGGGAGAGGUGAGUGGAAUUCCUAGUGUAGAGGUGAAAUGCGCAGAUAUCAGGAAGAACACCCGUGGCGAAGGCAGCUCGCUGGGACGUUACUGACGCUGAGACGCGAAAGCGUGGGGAGCAAACAGG